rnacentral:rRNA from 1 species
CCUACGGGCGGCAGCAGUGAGGAAUAUUGGUCAAUGGGCGAGAGCCUGAACCAGCCAAGUCGCGUGAGGGAAGACGGUCCUAUGGAUUGUAAACCUCUUUUGCCGGGGAGCAAAAAGCGGUACGUGUACCGCAUCGAGAGUACCCGGAGAAAAAGCAUCGGCUAACUCCGUGCCAGCAGCCGCGGUAAUACGGAGGAUGCGAGCGUUAUCCGGAUUUAUUGUGUUUAAAGGGGGCGCAGGCGGCGAGUUAAGUCAGCGGUAAAAUUUCGGGGCUCAACCCCGACGAGCCGUUGAAACUGGCUGGCUAGAGGGGGCGAGAAGUAUGCGGAAUGCGUGGUGUAGCGGUGAAAUGCAUAGAUAUCACGCAGAACUCCGAUUGCGAAGGCAGCAUACCGGCGCCCAACUGACGCUCAGGCACGAAAGCGUGGGGAUCGAACAGGAUUAGAUACCCCGGUAGUC